UGUCUGACAGCUCAGUCAGUAGUGCAUGAGACUCUUAAUCUCAAGGUCAUGGUUCAAGUCCCACGUUGGGCAA